CGGGUUAAGUCCCGCAACGAGCGCAACCCCCGCCGUUAGUGCCAGCGGUUCGGCCGGGCACCCUAACGGGACUGCCCGCGAAAGCGGGAGGAAGGAGGGGACGACGUCUGGUCAGCAUGGCCCUUACGGCCUGGGCGACACACGUGCUACAAUGCCCACUACAAAGCGAUGCCACCCGGCAACGGGGAGCUAAUCGCAAAAAGGUGGGCCCAGUUCGGAUUGGGGUCUGCAACCCGACCCCAUGAAGCCGGAAUCGCUAGUAAUCGCGGAUCAGCCAUGCCGCGGUCGAAUACGUUCCCGGGCCUU
rnacentral:rRNA from 1 species